UGGGGAAUCUUGCGCAAUGGCCGAAAGGCUGACGCAGCGACGCCGCGUGCGGGAGGACGCCCCUCGGGGUGUAAACCGCUGUCAGGUGGGACGAACCCUCGGGGGAGGAAAUGCCCCGGAGCUGACGGUACCACCAGAGGAAGCACCGGCUAACUCCGUGCCAGCAGCCGCGGUAAUACGGAGGGUGCAAGCGUUGUUCGGAAUUACUGGGCGUAAAGCGCGCGUAGGCGGCAUCUUAAGUCUCACUGUGAAAGACCGGGGCUCAACCCCGUGCGAGCAGGGGAUACUGGGAAGCUAGAGACCGGUAGAGGCCAGCGGAAUUUCGGGUGUAGCGGUGGAAUGCGUAGAGAUCCGAAAGAACAUCGGAGGCGAAGGCGGCUGGCUGGGCCGGGUCUGACGCUGAGGUGCGAAAGCGUGGGGAGCGAACAGGAUUAGAUACCCCGGUAGUCC
rnacentral:rRNA from 1 species